rnacentral:rRNA from 1 species
UACAGAGGGUGCAAGCGUUAAUCGGAAUUACUGGGCGUAAAGCGCACGUAGGCGGUUUUUUAAGUCAGAUGUGAAAGCCCCGGGCUCAACCUGGGAAUUGCAUUUGAAACUGGGAAACUAGAGUGUGUGAGAGGGGGGUAGAAUUCCAAGUGUAGCGGUGAAAUGCGUAGAGAUUUGGAGGAAUACCAGUGGCGAAGGCGGCCCCCUGGCACAACACUGACGCUGAGGUGCGAAAGCGUGGGGAGCAAACAGG